rnacentral:rRNA from 1 species
UAAUACUCUAUGUGGUUUUUUCUCGCAUGAGAAAAAUACUAAAGCUUGUAAUGGCGCUUAAGGAGGGGCUUGCGGCCUAUCAGCUUGUUGGUGAGGUAACGGCUCACCAAAGCUAAAACGGGUAGCUGGUCUGAGAGGACGGUCAGCCACACUGGAACUGAGACACGGUCCAGACACCUACGGGUGGCAGCAGUUUCAAAUCAUUCACACUGGGCGAAAGCCUGAUGGUGCGACGUCGCGUGGGGGAUGAAGGUCUUCGGAUUGUAAACCCCUGUCAUUAGGGAGCAAAAAACAGGCUCAUACCCUGUCUUGAGUUAACCUAAAGAGGAAGUGGUGGCAAAACUCUGUGCCAGCAGCCUCGGUAAUACUAGAGACCACAAGCGUUACCUCGGAUUCACUGGGCGUAAAGGGUGCGUAAGGCGGUUGGGUAUGUCAGGUGUGAAAUCUCGGAGCUUAACUCCGAGUCCGCGGCUUGAACUACCCAGCUAGAGUUUUGGAGAGGUAAGCGGAAUUUCUGUUGUAANCGGUGAUAUGCAUAGAUAUCAGAAGGAACAACCAAUGUCGAAGGCAGCUUACUGGACAAAAACUGACGCUGAGGCACGAAAGUGUGGGUAGCAAAAAGGAUUAGAUACCCUUAUAGUCCACACCGUAAACUUUGUACACUAGGUCUCGGACAAUUCGACCUGUUCGGGA